GAUGAACGCUGGCGGCGUGCCUAAUACAUGCAAGUCGAGCGAACAGACGAGGAGCUUGCUCCUCUGAUGUUAGCGGCGGACGGGUGAGUAACACGUGGAUAACCUACCUAUAAGACUGGGAUAACUUCGGGAAACCGGAGCUAAUACCGGAUAACAUGUUGAACCGCAUGGUUCAACAGUGAAAGACGGUCUUGCUGUCACUUAUAGAUGGAUCCGCGCCGCAUUAGCUAGUUGGUAAGGUAACGGCUUACCAAGGCAACGAUGCGUAGCCGACCUGAGAGGGUGAUCGGCCACACUGGAACUGAGACACGGUCCAGACUCCUACGGGAGGCAGCAGUAGGGAAUCUUCCGCAAUGGGCGAAAGCCUGACGGAGCAACGCCGCGUGAGUGAAGAAGGUCUUCGGAUCGUAAAACUCUGUUAUUAGGGAAGAACAAAUGUGUAAGAAACUAUGCACGUCUUGACGGUACCUAAUCAGAAAGCCACGGCUAACUACGUG
rnacentral:rRNA from 1 species